rnacentral:rRNA from 1 species
AUUGAACGCUGGCGGCAGGCCUAACACAUGCAAGUCGAGCGGAGCGGCGGACGGGUGAUUAAUGCCUAGGAAUCUGCCUGGUCGUGGAGGAUAACGUCCGGAAACGGGCGAUAAUACAGCCUAAUAUCAGCAGAGCCUAGGUCGGAUUAGCUAGUUGGUGGGGUAAAGGCAUACCAAGGCGACGAUCCGUAACUGGUCUGAGAGGAUGAUCAGUCACACUGGAACUGAGACGAGGUCCAGCCUCAUACGGGAGGCAGCAGUGGGGAAUAUUGGACAAAGGGCGAAAGCCUGCUCCAGCCAUGCCGCGUGUGUGAAGAAGGUCUUCGGAUUGUAAAGCACUUUAAGUUGGGAGGCGUUACCAACAGAAUAAGCACCGGCUAACUUCGUGCCAGCAGCCGCGGUAAUUC